rnacentral:rRNA from 1 species
GACAGAGGGUGCAAACGUUGCUCGGAAUUACUGGGCGUAAAGCGCGUGUAGGCGGGCUGAUAAGUCGGACGUGAAAUCCCUGGGCUCAACCCAGGAACUGCAUCCGAAACUGUCAGUCUGGAGUGGUGGAGAGGGAAGCAGAAUUCCUGGUGUAGAGGUGAAAUUCGUAGAUAUCAGGAGGAACACCGGUGGCGAAGGCGGCUUCCUGGACACUAACUGACGCUG